CCUGAGAAACCCAAAAGAUCGAAUGGGGAGAUUCAUCGUCAGCGUGGCUGGCUUCCGUGCGGUUCGCGAUGGCCGGGAUCUCGGUCCCGCGUCACGCGUCCGCCGCGGUAUGUCUGGCCGCGUCGGCGUGCACUUCUCCCCUAGUAGGACGUCGCGACCCGUUGGGUGUCGGACCGAUGGCCGUUUGGUCGACUGUCUCGUCGCGUUCACGCGUGCACGCGGCAGACCGAAAUGGUCGAGCGUCCGGCUGCCCGGCGGUAUAGAACGCUAUUGAACGGUAACGAGCCGCACUAAGUGCGUUCAGGCUCGUCGGCAGGCUCGUCUCGCCCGGAUUUACGGACCUAGCGCCGUUGCCGGGUGCUUGGCGUGGCUGUUAGUCGACGAUGUUCUCGGACUGGCUCGAAAAUUCGAAAGGAUUACCGGUCGGCGACGCUACUGCUUUGGGUACUUUC
rnacentral:rRNA from 1 species